rnacentral:rRNA from 1 species
UACAGAGGUCCCGAGCGUUGUUCGGAUUCACUGGGCGUAAAGGGUGCGUAGGUGGCUUGACAAGUUUGAUGUGAAAUCUCCGGGCUUAACCCGGAAAAUGCAUUGAAUACUGUAGAGGCUUGAGGUUUGGAGGGGGGAUUGGAAUUCUCGGUGUAGCAGUGAAAUGCGUAGAUAUCGAGAGGAACACCAGUGGCGAAGGCGGCCAUCUGGAUCAACACUGACGCUGAGGCACGAAAGCGUGGGGAGCAAACAGG